ACGGGAGGCAGCAGUGGGGAAUUUUGGACAAUGGGGGAAACCCUGAUCCAGCGACGCCGCGUGGAGGAUGAAGGUUUUAGGAUUGUAAACUCCUUUUGGAUGGGAAGAACAAGAUGACGGUACCAUCAGAAAAAGCCACGGCUAACUUCGUGCCAGCAGCCGCGGUAAUACGAAGGUGGCGAGCGUUACUCGGAAUUACUAGGUGUAAAGCGUAUGUAGGUGGUUGGAUAAGUCUGUGGUGAAAUUUUCCGGCUUAACCGGGAAGGGAACAUAGAAACUGUCCGGCUUGAGUAUGUGAUGGGGAGACGGAAUUCCUGGUGUAGCGGUGAAAUGCGUAGAUAUCAGGAGGAACACCGAUGGCGAAAGCAGUUUCCCGGCGCAAGACUGACACUGAGGUACGAAAGCUAGGGUAGCAAACAGGAUUAGAUACCCUGGUA
rnacentral:rRNA from 1 species